rnacentral:rRNA from 1 species
GNGAACGCUAGCGGCAGGCCUAACACAUGCAAGUCGAGGGGCAGCGCGGGUGGCAACACCUGGCGGCGACCGGCGCACGGGUGCGUAACGCGUAUGGAACCUACCCAUCCCAGGGGGAUAGCCCGCCGAAAGGCGGAUUAAUACCCCAUGGUCCCCGACCCCCGCAUGGGGGAUGGGGUAAAGGAGCGAUCCGGGGGUGGAUGGGCAUGCGUGCCAUUAGCUAGUCGGCGGGGUAACGGCCCACCGAGGCGACGAUGGCUAGGGGGUCUGAGAGGAUGGUCCCCCACACUGGUACUGAGACACGGACCAGACUCCUACGGGAGGCAGCAGUGAGGAAUAUUGGUCAAUGGGCGGAAGCCUGAACCAGCCAUGCCGCGUGCAGGAUGACGGCCCUACGGGUUGUAAACUGCUUUUCCCCGGGACGAAUAAGGCCGACGUGUCGGCCGAUGCCGGUACCGGGGGAAUAAGGAUCGGCUAACUCCGUGCCAGCAGCCGCGGUAAUACGGAGGAUCCGAGCGUUAUCCGGAUUUACUGGGUUUAAAGGGUGCGUAGGCGGGCGCCUAAGUCGGCGGUGAAAGGCAGCGGCUCAACCGUUGAGCUGCCGUUGAUACUGGGCGCCUUGGAUUCGGUCGAGGCCGGCGGAAUGCGCGGUGUAGCGGUGAAAUGCUUAGAUAUCGCGCGGAACGCCGAUUGCGAAGGCAGCUGGCCGGGCCGAGGUUGACGCUGAGGCACGAAAGCGUGGGGAUCGAACAGGAUUAGAUACCCUGGUAGUCCACGCCGUAAACGAUGAUGGCUGGAUGUUGGCGAUACACCGUCAGCGUCUGAGCGAAAGCAUUAAGCCAUCCGCCUGGGGAGUACGGUCGCAAGAUUGAAACUCAAAGGAAUUGACGGGGGCCCGCACAAGCGGUGGGGCACGUGGUUUAAUUCGAUGCAAACCGAAGAACCUUACCUGGGUUUGACAUGUGCGUGUUACUGAGGUGAAAGCCGAGGGACCAUAUCUUCGGAUGUGGAGCGUACACAGGUGCUGCAUGGCUGUCGUCAGCUCGUGUCGUGAGAUGUUGGGUUAAGUCCCGCAACGAGCGCAACCCCUGCAUUCAGUUGCCAACGGUAAGGCCGGGCACUCUGGAUGGACUGCCGGCGACAAGCCGGAGGAAGGUGGGGAUGACGUCAAGUCAUCAUGGCCCUUAUGUCCAGGGCGACACACGUGCUACAAUGGCCGGCACAGCGGGAAGCGAGGGGGCGACCUUGAGCGGAUCCCUCAAAGCCGGUCUCAGUUCGGAUUGCAGUCUGCAACUCGACUGCGUGAAGUUGGAUUCGCUAGUAAUCGCGCAUCAGCCAUGGCGCGGUGAAUACGUUCCCGGGCCUUGUACACACCGCCCGUCAAGCCAUGGAAGCUGGGGGGACCUAAAGUCGAUAACCGUAAGGAGUCGCCUAGGGUAAAACCAGUGACGGGGCUC